GAUAGCUCAGCGGGUAGAGCACGAGACUAAUAAAUCUCAGGGUCGUGGGUUCAGGAAGAAAGAUUCCUGCAUUGCA